GAUGAACGCUGGCGGCGUGCCUAAUACAUGCAAGUCGAGCGAAGCGGGGACGCGUGAGUACCACGUGGAUAACCUCCUAUCUGACUGGGAUAAAUUCGGGAUACCGGAGCUAAUCCUGACACUUAUAUAUGGAUUCGGGCGGGAUUAGCUAUUUGGUAAGGUAACGGCUUACCAAGGCAACGAUGCAUGGCCGAGCGGAGAGGGGGAGCGGCAACACUGGAACUGAGACACGGUCCAGACUCCAACGGGAGGCAGCAGUAGGGAAUGUGCCGCAAUGGGCGAAAGCCGGACGGAGAAACGCCGCGUGAGUGAUGAAGGUCUUCGGAUCGUAAAACUCUGUUAUUAGGGAAGCGGUACCUAAUGAGAAAGCAACGGCUAACUACGUGCCAGCAGCCGCGGUAAUAC
rnacentral:rRNA from 1 species